GACGAACGCUGGCGGCGUGCCUAAUACAUGCAAGUAGAACGCACAGUUUAUACCGUAGCUUGCUCCACCAUAGACUGUGAGUUGCGAACGGGUGAGUAACGCGUAGGUAACCUGCCUGGUAGCGGGGGAUAACUAUUGGAAACGAUAGCUAAUACCGCAUAAUAUUAAUUAUUGCAUGAUAAUUAAUUGAAAGGUGCAAUUGCACCACUACCAGAUGGACCUGCGUUGUAUUAGCUAGUAGGUGAGGUAACGGCUCACCUAGGCGACGAUACAUAGCCGACCUGAGAGGGUGAUCGGCCACACUGGGACUGAGACACGGCCCAGACUCCUACGGGAGGCAGCAGUAGGGAAUCUUCGGCAAUGGACGAAAGUCUGACCGAGCAACGCCGCGUGAGUGAAGAAGGUUGUCGGAUCGUAAAGCUCUGUUGUAAGAGAAGUACGGGUGUGAGAGUGGAAAGUUCACACUGUGACGGUAUCUUACCAGAAAGGGACGGCUAACUACGUG
rnacentral:rRNA from 1 species